CCUACGGGUGGCAGCAGUGAGGAAUAUUGGUCAAUGGGCGCGAGCCUGAACCAGCCAAGUAGCGUGAAGGAUGACUGCCCUACGGGUUGUAACCUUCUUUUAUAAAGGAAUAAAGUGAGGCAUGUGUGCCUUUUUGUAUGUACUUUAUGAAUAAGGAUCGGCUAACUCCGUGCCAGCAGCCGCGGUAAUACGGAGGCUCCGAGCGUUAUCCGGAUUUAUUGGGUUUAAAGGGAGCGUAGAUGGGUUAGUAAGUCAGUUGUGAAAGUUUGCGGCUCAACCGUAAAAUUGCAAUUGAUACUGGCAGUCUUGAGUACAGUUGAGGUAGGCGGAAUUCGUGGUGUAGCGGUGAAAUGCGUAGAGAUCACGAAGAACUCCGAUUGCGAAGGCAGCUUACUAAACUGCCACUGACAUUGAUGCGCGAAAGUGUGGGUAUCAAACAGGAUUAGAUACCCUUGUAGUC
rnacentral:rRNA from 1 species